GACGAACGCUGGCGGCGUGCUUAACACAUGCAAGUCGAACGGUAAGGCCCUUCGGGGUACACGAGUGGCGAACGGGAGAGUAACACGUGGGUGAUCUGCCCUGCACUUCGGGAUAAGCCUGGGAAACUGGGUCUAAUACCGGAUAGGACUCCUGGCUUCAUGGUUGGGGGUGGAAAGCUUUUGCGGUGUGGGAUGGGCCCGCGGCCUAUCAGCUUGUUGGUGGGGUAAUGGCCUACCAAGGCGACGACGGGUAGCCGGCCUGAGAGGGUGACCGGUCACACUGGGACUGGGAUACGGCCCAGACUCCUACAGGAGGCAGCAGUGGGGAAUAUUGCACAAUGGGCGCAAGCCUGAUGCAGCGACGCCGCGUGAGGGAUGACGGCCUUCGGGUUGUAAACCUCUUUCAGCACCGACGAAGCGCAAGUGACGGUAGGUGCAGAAGAAGGACCGGCCAACUACGUGCCAGCCGCCGCAGUAA
rnacentral:rRNA from 1 species